GUAGGUGUUGGAGUAAUCGUAGGAUCAUGUCGAAAAUGUGAUAGUUGUACCAAUGACCUCGAACAAUAUUGUUCUAGCAGUAUUGGCACGUAUAGUACAACUUACUAUGACGGAACCACCACACACGGAGGCUACUCCGAUCUCAUGGUAGCCAACGAGCAUUUCGUGCUCCGUUGGCCGGAGAAUUUACCGAUGGAUGCUGCCCCAUUGUUGUGUGCUGGUAUCACAACAUAUAGCCCAUUGAGAUAUUUUGGGCUUGAUAAGCCUGGAUUGAACAUUGGUGUUGUGGGCCUUGGUGGGCUGGGCCAUAUGGCUGUGAAAUUUGCAAAGGCUUUUGGAUGCAAUGUGACUGUUAUUAGUACUUCUAUUAAUAAGAAGGAUGAAGCAAUUAAACAUCUUGGUGCUAAUUCAUUCUUGAUUAGUCAUGAUCAAGAACAAAUCAGGUAUUUUUUCUCACUGGUUUAGGAGCAAAUUGUUUCCAUUUACACGAAUUUUCAAUUUUAUGAAUCUUACCAAAAUUUGGAUUUCGGAUACAUGAGGCUUAAUUAAAAUUAAGUGAAUUUGUUCCAGAUAUAUUGUAUCCAAAUGGAUUUGUAUGUACCUGAUCCUCGCGCUGCCUCUCGCCUAUCUCCUCUCUCGCUCACCUCUCUCCCUAUCUACCUGUAUUUCAAAAUGUAUCUGGUAUCCCAUAUACAUGUAUCUAGUGUGAUUCGCAUGUAUCUGGGAUACAUAGACUAUCUCGCUCGCCUUUUUCCUUCUCUUGCUCCCCUUUCUCCUUAUUUCAGUGUAUUUGGUAUGGAAUUAUUAAUUUGUGAGACAAUAUGUAAUUAUUUCAAACUAUAGAGAGAAUUAGUAAAUAUGAUACGAAUAUUUGUGUAAUUAGACAGGUUUUUGUUGAAACAAUGUACAUGUCGGGUCAUAAGUCCUCUGACAUGUUUGCUUACAUUGAAACGGUAUGUGAGCUAGGAUUGAUAUAAUAUUCUCUUCGUUUUAAUUUGUUUGUCUGAUCACACAUUAUAAUACAAGUUGUAUUAUUAUUAUUAUUAUUAUUAUUAUUAUUAUUAUGCAGGGUGCAACAAGCACAUUGGAUGGAAUUAUAGACACAGUUUCAGCAGAACAUCCAAUUGCUCCAUUGCUCAAUAUAUUAAAGCCUCAUGGAAAGCUUGUAAUGGUUGGUUUACCACCAAAGCCACUUGAGUUGCCAGCUUGGCCUUUGCUUAUGGGUAACAGAAAUAACUCGAACUUGUUAGUAAAUUUCAUGUCAUUUAAACACUUGAACUAUGGUCUAUUUUGACUAAGCACAUGAUAAAGUGUUGUUAUUAUCAAUUGCGUAGAUAAGUAUAACUACUAAAAAUAUGUCACUUCUUUUAAUCAUAUGCACUAGCCUCAAUAAGCUGUAAAACCUCAAGCUUAUUCCAGUUGAGGCUAAUGCAUAUAAUUAAAGUAUAUAACAUAUUUUAUGCAGUUAACUUAUCUAUGUGAUAGGUCAUGAGAACACGUAUAAAAGCUUUUCUAUAAUUUAAGCUGAAAGUAUCUAAUAUGAACACUUUAUUAUGUGUUACAUGGCUCAUUGAAAUAGGUCGUAAUCGAGUGCCUAAAUAAAAUUUACUAGAAAAUUUAAAUGAUUGUCGAUGUGUUCCGCUGAUUUUUUCAAUAUUGUUCUAAUAACAUCUACUUAAAUUUUUAUAGGUAGGAAAAUAAUGGGAGGAAGCAUCAUUGGAGGAAUGGAAGAGACCCAAGAAAUGCUUGAUUUUGCAGCAAAACAUAAUAUUACACCUCAAGUUGAAGUUGUUUCACUGAAUUAUGUGAAUAUUACCAUGGAACGCCUUUUGAAAUUGGAUGUCAAGUAUCGAUUCGUGCUCGGUAUUGGGAAAACAUCGAAAGCUGGGUGUAAGCUGAUCUGAAUAUUAGCGUUAUGAAUUUAAAAUAAAACAACAAAUUAUGGCCAAAAUAUAGAUUUUUGGCCAUUAGGGUGGGUUUCUUAUCUGAAAUUUUCACCCUUUUAAGUCUUUGUUAUUUUGAAUUUCUAAUCUUCAAAUUUGUUUUUAUAUCUCAUUUUCGCAAAUUUAAGGCUUCAAUUAUCCAUUAUAUUUUAUUUAUAUGUCUAAAUUAUCAUUUUCCCCCAAAUUUCAUACCUCAACUAUAUAUUGUUCUAUUUAUUUACCUGCCUAAAGUAUGAUCGCCUUUUUAUUAGUUUCAUACCUCAACUAUCAAUUGAGCAUCAAAACACACGUCGAUGCUAAGUUAAAAUAGUUAAUUCUUAUUUAUGUAUUUUAUUACCAGCUACUACACCCAAGCCCAAAACAAAGUUCAGUAAUGGGCCAAAAGUCUAAAUUUACUCCAAAAUUGGGCCCAGGCAGUGCAUAUGUGAUUGGCACCUUUUUAAACAUAGCCAUGUUUUUCAAAAACUAUUUAAAGUUUAACCACUUUUUAAUAAAUUAAACAAAACUUAAAUAAACACAAUUCUUAACUUGUUACGGAAAACUUUAGACCUUAAGUUUAAUGUUCCGAGCUUGAAGUUGGCCUCAAGGAAAUAUUAUUGAGUUUGAAUUUCAAAUUCGACUAUGAAGUUUGAAGAGCCAAUUAAUUUUAAAAUUUUCAUUAUAAAGUUUGCAAAGACAAUUUUAAAUUAUUUUUUUACUCUCUUCCCCUAAGUUAGGGUGGGGACUCUACAAAAUAUAUUAUUAUUAAUAUUGUUGUUAAAACCUUGACUAUGUUUUAAAUUGUAAUGCUACAAACAACUAUUUAUUCACUUCUUCCUCCCAAUUGUUCUCAGUAAAGCAGAAUCGAAUAUACGUAUAACAAAUGGUACAUAUUUACCUUUUUUCUAUUAAGGGUCUGAUUUUUUUUUAAUAAAAAUAUCGUAAAACUUGAUUUUUAAUUCCAAAAAUACCAAGUGAUUUUCAAAAAAAAAAUAUCUCACCUAUGAACCCAAAUAAUUAAAGACCACCCAACUAACAUAACAUUUUUUUGAUAAUCCAUCAUUAAUUAAGAUUAGCAAUUAAUAUUUAUUGUUUGACAAUAAAAUUUAUCUGUCACUAAUUAUUUUUUUGAAUGAAUAUCUCAUAAUUCAAAAUAAAAUCCGAACAUAAAAACAUCAAAAAAGAAAUAAAAAAACGGUAGUUUAGAAAAAUGAGAGUACUGUCAAUUGAAAUAGAGUGGAUUUAAGACUCGAUAAUAUGAUCUAACGAUUAAUAAAACAAAAAUACAAAAAUUACAAAAGAUUAAAAUUCAAAUCUCACCAUUAAGAAAUAGACCUGUAUACAUCAUCCUUUAAAAUAUGUCAUAGUUUGCAUACAAACCUGAAUCAACAAAUAUAUAUUAAAAAAUAUUUGACGAUUCAGGUGUGUUGCAAUCUUUGACAUACAAAGGCUAUCAAAUAGCUGCAAAAAAAAAAAAACAAUAGAAUAAAAAUGUGUAUGAAUUGAUGUGAGGCUUCAAAAAGUUAGUAGUGUUUAUAUAGAUAUAUUGGGUAAUGUUAAAAGAAAAUCUUGGCCGUUGAAUUUAUUCCCAAUAAAAUAUUUGGAGGCUGUGUUUAUAUUACUUAGAAAACCCUAGUUAUGUGUAAUUUACAUUUGUAUCCCUUCAGAAUCUACAUAUAUAUAGAUAUUGUUGUUUGCACCCAUAAAUUAAUUCAAAUAUCAAAUUAUUCAAAAGAAUAUCAUAUACGUUAUCCUUGAAGUAUGUCAUAGUUUUCAUACGAACCUGAAUCGACAUAUGUAUUAUAUAUGAUUUAUAUAUGUUAUUCAGACUCAUAAAAACAAUGAACGCACAAUAUUUUUAAAAAGUCUGAACAAUAUUCAUACAUUGUCGAUUCAGGUGCGUAUCGAAGCUUUGACAUACAAGGCUAUAGAUCAAAAAAGUAUUUGAGAGUUGAAAAAAAAGUGAAGCAAAGUGAAUAUGAGUCUUCAAAAAAGUUGCUAGACAUAUAUAAGAUAUAUUGAAAUUAUUUCCUACUAUAAUAAGUUUGUUUGGAGGCUGUGUUUAUAACAUUUAGAAAACCCUAAUUCUAUGAAAUUACAUUAUAGCCCUCUUAGAUAUUUAUAUUAUGACAUUAUUAACCUUGAUGUAUUCAUGUUGGGCAUCUCAUUAUAUUGUUGCACUCAAUAUAUUAUAUGGCAUAAGAAAGGGCUAAUUAAUUUCAUUUGUAUGACAUAAGAAAGGGCUAAUUAUUUAAUUAAUUAUACUGUCUGAUUAUUGUUGCUAAAUGUUCACUAAAAUUUCAAUUGAAGGGCAAUGGUUUCUACCUUUCCCAUUUCAUUGAAGCAUGUAAUAAUCUCCUUGAUCUUUAUUGUUUUGUUACGUUUUUUUCUUGAGCCGGAUCUAUCGAAAAAUAACCUUUCUAUUUUUCAAUGUAGAGGUACAAUCUACAUACACACUAUUAGCUUCGGAUCUCACUUAUGAUCGUGUUAGACUACUCUAUGUUAAAAGUAGGUUCUCAAUGCACGGAUUUAUAAAUGAAAACUUUAAUUGUGUUGUCUAUGAGUGUCUGAUAUUUGUCGUCUACAUAAGUAUUUAAGUUCAGCUAGCUAAUUAGAGUGAUGUUUUUAACAUAGUUAAUAGUUUAGAGACGAAAGACCAAAUUCAGAUUUUUUUUUCAUAAAAUCACCUACCUUGUUUCCAUAAGGCCUGCUUUUUUGUCUUUCUUUUCUGUUUUGAAACAAAAAUGCUAAGGAUAAUAAUUUCUUUUUUUCUUUUUUUCUCCAAUCAUGCUUUUAUUUGUUUCAAAACAAAACUUUAACGUUUAUUUUGAGGGAUAAAGGAUUAUAACUUCGAGACCAAAUUCAGGAUUAGUUUGUCUCAUGUUUGGUCGGAUUUUUAAAAAGAGUUUUGAAUUAGUAAUUAUAUUAUUUAUUUUUACAUUAAAUGAUUAACUAAAAAUAUAUUUUCUUUUCCUUCAUUUUAUUUUACUUAGCGUUUAUACUAAAAAUAGAUUAUUACGUAUUUUUUUACUUGUCUAUUUUAAUAAAUUAAGAGAAAUUCAUUAUUUUUCUCCCAGUACUACACCGUUAUCAUUACAUAACUACAUAAAAUAUAAGUUGCCAAAUUUAAAUUAUCAAAACAUAAUUAAUAAGGUUAAUUUAUGAAAAAGUAAACCCCUAACAAUUUUUUUUUUUUUAAAACUAUCAAGUCAAUAUAGAUCAAAUAAAACGAACAGAAGGAAAGAGUAUAUAUAUAUAUAUAUAUAUAUAUAUUAUUUUAUCUCUUUUUGCACGUUUUUAUCCUUUAGAGAUUAGAAAUUGAGAAAUGAAUGAACCAAUCAACCAAAAUCUAACGUUUUUUUUUUAUAAAUAUGAAUACCAAAUGGGCAUUUGGUUUUAAUUUUAUACACAUUUUCUUCUGUUUCAACUUUUUGUUUUGGUUAUUAUAUUUUUAGGUGAAUUUUAAUUAACUUUACUUUGGGGGAAAAAAUGGCAAAAUCCUAUGAAAUUGAGCACCCAAUUAAGGCAUUUGGAUGGGCAGCUAGAGACACUUCUGGUGUUCUUUCUCCUUUCAAUUUCUCAAGAAGGUAUAGUUUCUUUCUGCUCAAUAUUCAAUAUUCAUUUUAGGGUUCGAGAAUUCGCGUGUUUCAUAUUCAUUUUUAGUGGAGACACUAUUAAUAAAAAGAAAAAAUCAUUCUCAGAAACUUGAACUCGAGGGUUCUGAUUAAGGACUAUACAACCUAUAUUAAUUAGUAUAUAUAUACCUUUCCUUUUUUAAUAUAGUGGUGUUUAGAUCGAUUUGUGUCUACAUACUAUGUACAUUUUUAAAAUUGUAUAUAGUAGUUGAAACGAUUUUCACUAUGAAGUUUAUCAUACAUAAAACUUGACCUUAAUUAUAUAUAUAUUAUUUUUUACAUCAAAGAAGGUUCGGAUGAUCCCUUUCCGCUCCCUCUGGCUCCACCCAUGAUUAUACAUAAUAUUGAGUUUAACUCUAGUUUUGUUAAGAUCAUAGUGUUUUAAAAUGCUCAAUUUCUAAUUUUUUUAAUUAUUAUUAUUAUUAUUUAUUAUUAUUAUUUUUUUAUUUUUUUUUUUAUUAUUAUUAUUUGUGUGUGUAGGGCUACUGGGGAGAAUGAUGUACAAUUCAAAGUGUUGUAUUGUGGAAUUUGUCACUCAGAUCUUCAUAUGCUCAAGAAUGAAUGGGAUAAUUCCAAGUACCCUAUUCUGCCUGGGUAAAUUCAUUAUUUUCCAUUCUAAUUUCCUUCAAUAUACUUGCAUAAUAUAUGCAAAAUUAACUAGUAUUUUAGUAUUCUUUUCUUAAAUUUUACUAUUAUCUAUUAAUAUGGUUGCUUUGUUUAUUGCUGUUGUUAUUUUUCUUUCAAUUCUGUUAUGAUCGAUUACACUUUUUCUAACCUCUCUAUAGGGCUACACCAAAAAAUAGGAAUAAAUUAUGUAUAUAUCUUAUUUGUCACUGACCUUGCUUAUAAAGUUACACCGAGUAUGUUAUCGUUGUUUGUGGAGAAAAAAGGAAAGAAUAAAAUUGCAUAAAUUCACUCACCUUGUUUCCUCUGGCCUGCUUGUUUGUCUUUCCUUUUUGGUUUGAAACAAAACUUUCAAGGAAAUAUAUUUUGUUUUAGCUUAGACCAACUCAUUUUUCUCCAAUCACCUUUAAUUUUUAUUUUUUUUAGUGUGAGGGAUAAUUUCGAUAAUAAAUUUGGGAUUAACUUAUUCUACAUUUAAUAGGAGUUUUUUUGGUUCUAGGAUUAGUAAUUUUGGAAUUAAAAUUUAUGAGUUUCCAACAAUCUUAUUUUCUUUUUUCAAAAAAAAAAGAACAAAAGCUCAAUGCAUAGGCAUAUUCAAAAUUUAAGGAGAUAUUAACCCUCAUCAAGGAGGGCAAAAAAAUGCUUAAGUAGGUUCUAUCUCAAUCGCUGGAUCAAAAGCUUAUCUUGUUAACGAUUUCUAAUAUAUAUUUCUUUUAUAAAUAUUAUUAAAAAGUUGUAAAAAUUCGCAAUAAAAUUCUGAAUCCGUCAUUAUCUUAAUGCUUAUAUCGGAUAUCAGAUGAAAAAUAAAAUGGGCAACUCUUUGAAGACAAGUGCCAAUGUAGGCCAAAAUUUUACCACUAUAACAUCAACUCACAAUGGAGGACUUUUACAGUGGAUAGUAUUAUUAUUGUUUGUACCAAACUAUUAAUAAUUGCAGGUAACAUGUUAUGGUCCCAAACACUAUAUGUUGUAGUCAUAAAUUCACUUGUUUUUAGUACAAUCUAACAUGCAUAUGUUAUAGUAAUUAUUUCAUUUUUUUUUUUGCCUUUUCGUACGAUUGCUUAUUAUUCUGUUGAAAAUAAUAAUUUCUGAUUAAGAUUAAAAAUCAUUUCGAAUUUCAAUCUUGACAUGUCUAGAUUCUUUCUUUUAUACAAUUCUUGCACUUGUAUAAAAAUAUUUAGAUAUCAAACCUCUGUUCAAACAAUAUCUUACGUGUAUUUUUACAGGCACGAGAUUGUGGGCGUGGUAACCGAGGUCGGUAGCAAGGUAGAAAAAGUGAAGGUGGGGGACAAUGUAGGUGUUGGAGUACUCGUAGGAUCAUGUCAAAAAUGUGAUAGUUGUACCAAUGACCUCGAACAAUAUUGUCCUAGCCACAUUGGUACGUAUAGUACAACUUAUUCUGACGGAACCACCACAUACGGAGGCUACUCCGAUCUCAUGGUGGCCAACGAGCAUUUCGUGCUCCGUUGGCCGGAGAAUUUACCGAUGGAAGCUGCCCCAUUGUUGUGUGCUGGUAUCACAACAUAUAGCCCAUUGAAAUAUUUUGGGCUUGAUAAGGCUGGAUUGAACAUUGGAGUUGUGGGCCUUGGUGGGCUGGGCCAUAUGGCUGUAAAAUUUGCAAAGGCUUUUGGAUGCAAUGUGACUGUUAUUAGUACUACUAUUAAUAAGAAGGAUGAAGCAAUUAAACAUCUUGGUGCUAAUUCAUUCUUGAUUAGUCAUGAUCAAGAACAAAUGCAGGUAUUUUCUCUAUGUUUAUGCUUGAAAAUUACAAUUAUUAUACACUUAUUAACUAGUUUGGCAUCUCGAUAUCGACUAUAUAUUUGCCAUCUAAGAACUAUAAGAUGUAUUAAGUUGGAUGUCGUUCGCCUAUUAAAACGGUAUGAGUAUACAUGUCGUAUUAUAAAUCCUCUAAUGUUUGCUUGGAUUAAGAUGUGUCGGUCAAUGUUCUCUUCGUUUUAAUUUGUUUGUCUGAUUUUAACUUGACACAAAAUUUUAGAAAGUAAACAGAUUUUUGAAUUUGUGGUCUUAAACUAAUGGCAUGUCGAAUUACUAAAAUGUCCUUCAGUCUUGUGGUCUUAAAUUAGCUAAUGCUUGUCGAAUUGUAUUACUUAUUUUACAUAACUAUAUCGUGAAUAUGUGAGUAUCGUAUAGUGUACGAAUUGACGAUCAUAUAUGUGGAUAUCAAAUAUCGUAUGAGUUAUUAUUAUUAUUAUUUUGCAGGGUGCAACAAGCACAUUAGAUGGAAUUAUAGACACAGUUUCAGCAGAACAUCCAAUUGCUCCAUUGCUCAAUAUAUUAAAGCCUCAUGGAAAGCUUGUAAUGGUUGGUGCACCACCAAAGCCACUUGAGUUGCCAGUUUUCCCUUUGCUUAUGGGUAAAAUAAAUAAAUAAUCUUUACUGAAUUUUCUUGGCGGAAUACAUCGAUAUCUCAUGUUAAUAAAUUUUAUUUAGACACUCGAGCGAUUGUUUGUCUCAAUUGAGUACCUAAAUAGAAGAUAAAGUGUUAAUACUUGAUAUUAGACACUUUCAGCUCAAAAAUUGGGAAGUCUCCUCGUGUGUUUUUACAACUGUCAGUUACGUAGAUAAGUAUAACCCUAAAAAUAUAUCACUUUUGUUAAUUAUAUGUAUUAGCCUCAAUAAGUCGUAAAACCUCAGACUUAUUCCAACUUGAGGUUGAUGUAUAUAAUUAAAGGAGAUGACCUUUUAUAUAGUUAACUUAUUUACAUGAUAGGCCUUGAGAAUACACGCAAAAGCUUUUCUAAAAUUUGAAUCGGUAAUAUGAACACUUUAUCAUCAUGUAUUCAGAUGUUCAAUUAAAAUAUGUCAUAAUUUGAAUUCUACAUAAAAUUUAUUAGAAUGUUUAAGGGUUUAUCAAUGUAUUCCGCCAAUUUUCUUAAUUCUCUUUUUAUUUCUUUAUAAUUUGGAUUCUUCAAUAUUCAGGUAGGAAAAUAAUGGGAGGAAGCAUUAUUGGAGGAAUGAAAGAGACACAAGAAAUGCUUGACUUUGCAGCAAAGCAUAAAAUUACACCUGAAGUUGAAGUUGUUUCAAUGGAUUAUGUAAAUAUUGCUAUGAAACGCCUUUCGAAAUCAGAUGUCAAGUAUCGAUUUGUGCUCGAUGUUGGGAAAACAUUGAAAGUUGACUAAAUGUGCAUGCAAACUGGUCUGAAUACUAUUGUUAUGAAUUUAAAAUAAAACCGACAUUUUAUGGCCAAAAUAGUAGAUUUUUGGCCAUUAGGGUGUUUUCACCCUUAAAUAUUUGUUAUUUUGGAUUCCUAAUCUUCAAAUUUGUUUUUAUAUAUUUGAAUUCAGUUGCAUUUUGACCCAUCAAGUUACGCUAUUUUGACAUGUUUGAUCCAAUAAUUUGAUAUGGCAUGUCCAUUAGCCAAUUUUUUUUUUUCAUAAUUCUCAAUCUUUAAAUUUGAUUUUUCUCAAGAUUUUGAAUUCUAGUCUUUUAAAAUUAUCGAUAUCUAAUUAUUUUGUUUAUAUAUAUUAAAUAAAAAAUUGCGCUAAAUUUAUUGAAUUAUACGAACUCAUACGGUAAAAUGGUUUAUGAAAAAUCUUUUUAUUUUUUUGUGUUUGAUAUGUAAAUAAAAAAUAUUAUUCUAAAAAUGUUUAUAUAUAAUAUAGAAAAAUAUUAUGGAAGGUAAUGAUGUGAAAUGGUGAGAAUGACAAAGUCUACCGUGAUAAAAAUGAAGAUAAGGUGUACUGAAAGCCGAAAGGUCGGCUGAAAUAACAUUAUAAUAUUACUUAUAAAACUUAUUUCUUAAUUCCACUAGAAGAAAUUAUAUUCCUCGUUUUUAAAAAAUAUGCUCUCUUAAAAAAUUGUUGUCCAAAAAUUUAACUAAUUCAACAUUUUAAAAAAAUAAAAAAUAUUUUCUUUCCUACCAAACAAAUAUUAUGCAAUUAUAUCUAUCACAUGCAUCAAGAAUUCAAUAUUAUGCAAUUAUAUCUAGCACAUGCAUCAAGAUAUGCACCCAUAAUUUGUCCAUAUCUUAAUUGUAUUAAUUGGAAGUACUUUUUCGUAAUAGUAGUGUCUGGUUAGUUUAGGUGUAUUUUAAUUAAUAAUCAUUUUAUUAAAUAUCUUUUCUAGAUUAAAUCGUGUGUUAAAUCUUAUGAUUCCUCAUCCACUUCAUUGUCCAGUACUAAAUCAUAUUCUCUGGUGCUAUUAAUUAUUUUAGUUAAAUAAAAAUAUAUUUUAAUUAAUGACGGUUAAGUGAUAAAAAUAUACAUAAAAGAUCAUGUGAUGCAUUUAUUUUGUUAAUGUAGUAAAAAUUAGUUGUUAGAUUUAAAAAAACAGUCUAACAAGAACCAAAAUUGAUUGCAAAUAAUUGUCUUUAUAUUAACUUUCAUCAAACUUGGUAGUUGCACCAUUAUGACAAUCAUUUACUACAUUUCUCUAACUUUACAACUACUUUUACCCUCAAAAAUACCUAUUCAUUAGGCCUCAUAUCCACAUAUCCUUCUAUCUCAAAUUAUCUAUCGUGGUUAUUUAAAAAAAAAAAAAAUCAAAUUAUUUGUCUUUUCAAAACUUUAAAACUUUUCUUUAAUUUUAUCCUUAGUAUUAUUAUUCUUGAAAACUGCAAAUACUGAUGACACGUUAUAAAUAGAAAAAAAUACUUAAUGAAGAAAGAUUAUAUCUCAAGAUCAGAUAAAUAAGCACAAAAUAAUCAAAAACUCCUUCUAACUAAAUUUUUUUUUUAAGGAUAAUGUGAGAAAAAAAAAAAAAAACACGACAAAUAAUUCGAGACGGAUAAUAAAAAUUUGCCUUUGCCUCAACUCCAUUAAAUAUUUUUUUUGAAACAAGUAAAAAUAGCAAUAAAAGCAAAAACCUUAUCAAACUAGUAUAAAUAUUGGCUUUCCCUUUGAGUUUCCUCAGUCUCAUCUAGGCAUUCAUAGUUUUAAUAUUUUAUAUAUCUAGCUAUUUUCUUUGGGUUAUAUUUUUUUAUUUAUUUUGUUGAAAUGGCAAAAUCCCCAGAAGAAGAACAUCCAAUUAAGGCUUUUGGAUGGGCAGCUAGAGAUACUUCUGGUGUUCUUACUCCUUUCAACUUCUCAAGAAGGUACUCAUUAUGUUAUUACAAGUCCAAAUUAUAGUUCUAUAUGUAUAAAAAAAAAAUCAAAAUUUUAAGUUAUAUAAAUUGACAGUGCAAAAUUAUUAUUUUUGUUAUAAAUUAUAUAAUGUAGUUUAACUUAUCAUAGUAUGUUAGUUAUCAUUCUUAUAUGACUACAAAUUAAUGGUUCUCAUAUGACAUAUAUCUUAUAUAAUUAAUCUAAUUGUGUAAAUAUUUUCUUUUGCAUUGAAUUUAGUACAUCCCUCCUUUGAAGGGAAGUCUUUGAGCAACUGUAAAAUUGUCUCUAUGUGAUCUAUAGGUUGAUCACAAGUUCGAACUAUGGAAUCAUGACUAUUAGAAACAUAGGCUUUUCUCAUUGCGAAUCAAUGAGAAAAUUGUGUUAUAAAACAUGAUUUUCUCAUCUAUUUAUCACCGAACCAGCUCACUAGCUAGGAAAAUGCAUUAUGAAAAACAGAUUCAUUCUUACUGAAAUACUGAAAGCUUCCUAAUUUUUUCGUGUAAAAACACUAUUAAUUUUUCUUUUCUCACCAAUUCAAUCAAAAUAAUUGUGGCACUACAACAAAAAAUAACUUUUAGCGGCAAUAAAUAGACACAUUAAUAAAGAGUGCUAAAGUUUUUACCGGCAUUAGUUAAGUGCCACUAGAUCUGAUGUCGUUUAAGGCUUUAGGAACAUAUACAAAGAGUGUUAAUUGCCGCUAAAAGUACAUAUUUAGCGGCAAUUAAGAUAUUGUCAUUAUUUAAUUGCCGAUGAAUAUAAUUUUUGAUGUAGUGUGGGAAUAGGCACGGAAUGUUUUUUAGGUGGAAAUUUUUAAUGGAAAAAUAGUGAUUUUUAGUAGUGCAAUCCUUUUCUGAUCUGUGUGAACACGAGAUGCUUUGUGUACUAUUUAGAAAAAUGAUUUAAUGUAUGUAUGGUGCAGGGCUACUGGGGAGAAAGAUGUGCAAUUCAAGAUCUUGUAUUGUGGAGUUUGCCACACAGAUCUUCACUUUCUCAAGAAUGAAUGGGGAGUCACCAGAUAUCCUGUUGUACCUGGGUAACAAGUUCACUUUAUCUAAUAAAUACUCAUUAAGAUUUAAUUAGUAAUUUUUGUACUUUUAAUCUGUCGUAGCAGCUAACUUAUCUUAAUUUAUACUUCCAUUUUAUUCUUAGUAAAUUAUUUUUGAAGACUACAAAUACCUUAAUUGAUGAAGAUGAUGCAUAACUAGAGUAAAUAUUCAAUGAAGAGUGAUUUUAUCGAUCUUAAAAUAUAUAUAUAUAUAUAUAUAUAUAUAUAUAUAUAUAUAUAAAUNNNNNNNNNNNNNNNNNNNNNNNNNNNNNNNNNNNNNNUAUAUAUAUAUAUAAAAGCAUAAAAUAGUCCCAAAAAGAACUCUUAAUUAAUGUUUUUAGGGGCAUGUAAAAGAGAAUCACAGUCCCCGAGCUUCCGCACAUAUUAUUGAGACAAAUGAAGUAUAGCAAUUGUACUUGAACACUACACACAACUCCAUUAAUUGAGACGACACAUAAAUAGAGUAAAUAUUUUGUGGAGAGUGAUUGUAUUUUAAGACAUAAAUAAGGGUACAAUAAUAAGAAACUUCUCCUAAAUUAUGUUUUUUAACGGAUGUGUAAAAGCACAUCAUGACAAAUAAUUUCAGACGGAGAGAGGGAGGGAGUGGGUAAUAAAGUUAGCAUUUAAUGCUAACCUCCAAUGUAGGUGAACUAACAACAGAGUCAAUAACUAUACAAUAUACACCAUGUCCCUACUACAACUUGUUCCUAUUUAAUUUAUCAAUGUUACUAACAUUUAUGUACCCUUUUUUUUUUACUUCAUUUUUUUAAUUAUAGGCAUGAGAUUGUGGGUGUAGUGACAGAAGUUGGUAACAAAGUUGAUAAAUUUAAGAUUGGUGACAAAAUUGGUGUUGGAUGUCUAGUAGGAUCAUGUCAAAAAUGUGACAAUUGUGCAAAUGAUCUUGAAAAUUAUUGUCCCAAACAAAUACAAACAUAUGGUCAAAUGUACAUCGACGGAACGAUGACGUACGGUGGUUACUCCGAUAUCAUGGUUGUCGAUGAGCAUUUCGCGGUCCGUUGGCCGGAGAAUUUACCGAUGGAAGCUGCACCAUUGUUAUGUGCUGGUAUCACAACUUAUAGCCCAUUGAAAUAUUAUGGGCUUGAUAAGCCUGGUUUGAACAUUGGUGUUGUGGGCCUUGGUGGGCUGGGCCAUAUGGCUGUGAAAUUUGCUAAGGCCUUUGGGGCUAAUGUCACAGUUAUAAGUACUUCUCCUAGUAAAGAAGAGGAAGCCCUUAAACAUCUCGGUGCGGAUAAGUUUUUACUUAGCAACAAUCCUGAGCAAAUUCAGGUUUGUAUAAUUUGGGGAUUUUUGUCUAUGCAAUGUUGUUUUAAAUUAUAGGGGGGUAGUUGAGCAUGUCAGAUCAAAUUAAUAAACGAAUCAUGAUUCAGUCCAUUCGAAGUUGGUGUUUGGUCAAAAUAGGUCAAAAGUGAGUCAUAACAUGUUUCAAAUCUAGCUUAUUUGGUUAAACUUUAAAAUUCUACUUAUUUUGAAAAGUGUUUUUACUUAUAACUACUUUUCAAAAAGUAAUUUUAAAGAAAACAGUUUGUGUUUUGAUAAUCAUUUUGAAAAAUGCUUUUGCCAAUAUCAGUGCAAGCUAGUUGUAUUUGACCAAUAUUUCAAAAGACCUUCCGGAGACAAACUAUUUCUUUUCAACUUUUGCUACUAAAACACUUUUAAAAAGGAAAAAAAAAACUUGAACAAGUACCUCUACUUUGUCAAAUUAAAUCUUUUUGUAAAGUGAGAUACAAAACAUUUGACUGUUUAGAAGUUUGGUCAAACAUGCAUUUUAACCUGUCGUGUUACACUAUCAUGAUGGAUCAUUUUAGGUUCAACCAAAUCAACAAACUGAUCAUAACUUAACUUGUUUAAACUUGGACGGGUUAUUAAAAGAUUGAGCCGAUUUGUCACCUCUAGUUGAAAUUUAUGAUUUUUUUUAAAAAUCUUGAAUUAAUGUAACAGGGUGCAAUGAACACAUUGGAUGGAAUUAUUGAUACUGUUUCAGCAGUUCAUCCACUUUUACCAUAUCUUGGUAUGUUAAAGCCUCAUGGUAAACAUGUUAUAGUUGGUGCAAUUCCUCAACCACUUGAAAUGCCAGUGUUUCCUUUAAUCUUGGGUAAGUUUACUCUUCGAAUUCUAAGUUGACUUAGCUAAAGAUAGAACACAAUAUAAAUAAGUCCUAAUGUUUAUAGUUCGAUUUUGUAUAUUGGUCAUGAUACAUCAAUAUACAUUCAAAUUUAGUCUUAAAUAUAAAAUAUGCACGUCUAGACACCUCAACUCAUUUUCAUUGUGUCAGUUGAACAUUCCAACUUACAAAACGAUCAUCUAGACACUACUAGAAACAAAGGUUUUUCCCACGGCUGAUUAGUUGGAAAGUUAUGCUAUAGAUCAUAAUUUUCCAACCGAACCAACUUACUAGAAAAAUGCAUGGUGAAAAACAAUUUUUCAAUGAAAUAGUGAGAAACUUUCUGUAUGAAAACAUUAUUAUUAUUAUUUUUCCCACCAAUUCAAUCAAAAUAUUUAUCGGAAUAGACACACAUUUUCCAAUGGGAGAAUAGUGAUUGUUUAGUAGUGAGACACCUCUAAAAUUUAUGUGUCACGUCAGCAUAAGUGUCUACGAGACACAGUGGGGACGAGUUGGAGUGUUUAGUUGUCAAUUGAGACCAAGUUGAGAUGUCCAGAUAUGCACUCUCAAAGUUGAAAUAUAAUGUUUACUUGUCAUUUAAGGCCAAGUUUAAGUGUCUGUUUAAAUAUUAUGCCAGAUUACCGUUGUUGUUACGUACUCUUUAAACUAUUUAAGUUCAUAUUGAAGUAUAAGUGUAUAAUGUGGAAAACAGGAAGGAAGACAAUUGCUGGGAGUGCAAUGGGAGGAAUGAAAGAGACUCAAGAAAUGUUAGAUUUUGCAGCAAAGCAUAACAUAACACCAGAUGUUGAAGUCGUAGCGAUGGACUACGUGAAUACAGCAUUGGAACGUCUUGUUAAAUCCGAUGUCAAGUAUCGAUUCGUGCUAGAUAUGGGCAAAAAAAUGAACAAUGUUUAAUCUCAAAACCAAAUUUUUUUGGUUCUUGAAAAUCAUUGUUGAUCUUCUUGAUGUUGUGUGUGUUUUUUAAGAUGUCUUGUUUUAGUAUGUUAGUGUCUUUGCUUAGUUAUGUAAGUUAUUCACAACUUGAAAGACAAAUAAUUUGUUGUUUGCUUGUGUUCUUCACGGAUGCUCGCCAAAUAUAUCACUCUUCUUGCUAUUAUCAAAAUAAGAUGAAAGUUAUAAAUUGGUCAUUCUUGACUUAUGAUUUUGUGACUUAUAAGCACUGUUAAUCUGAUCAAUUUUUUUUACGAUUUCAUCUCUAAUUUUUUUUUGUAAUUUUCAAAUUUUAAAUAAAUGAAUGUGUAAAAAUAAAAUAGUCGCUCCUUGACCUAUUGUAGAGUGUAGACAUUGAAAUUUUGUGAGAUUUUACAAGACGUGUUCAAUUCGAAUUGGGACUCUAGAUGGUGUUCAAUUUCAAUUAGAAUUCUUGGAAGCUACUCAACCCUAAACCCUAGUUCAUGCCUAUAUAAAGGGUACUAAAUUCCCUUAAAAGACAUAUCGAUAUAUUCCAGAAAAGUUAUGGAAUAUUCAUAUAGAAGUCAAAUCUAAAUUAUUCUAGUUCGAGAAAUACGCCACUAAUGGCCCUCAUAUCAUGAAUAAACCUUAUGAGAGGAGAAUCAAGAAGGAACAGAAUUCUACCCGCACUAUUAUCAAUAAAAUAUUUAUGUUUCUUCAGAUUUUAUUUGUGUGAUUAAUUUAUUUUCCAUAUGUUUAAAAUUUAUCGCAAACACUUACAUAUACAAAUAUGUAAUUGUUUAUUUAGAGAAUCACACACUUAUAAUUAUCGAUUAUUUUUUUUAUAAUCAGCUAACAAUAUUGGAUUCCAAUUUCCAAAGUCAUUUUCAAAAUAAAUCCAUGUGUUCACAUUAUUAUUUAAUACUAUGAACUUGAUAAGAUAAGAUAAUUAAUUUCAUUGACCUUUUUUUACUUUAGAGAAAAUGACAGGAUAAUGACGGUAUAACAAACAUGAUUAACUUGUCUAAAUUAUGUUAAAGAAUUAACCAUCCCAUUUAAGAUGGUCAAUGUUAGGUCCGUGCGUAACCUAGUGAUUAAUAAAUUCAGUUGAAAAUUCUGAGAUUCAAGCCCACUUUUCUAUCAAAAUAAAAAAUAUUAGAUGACUUGUUUUCAAUUCGUUCAAAUUUUAUGAGCAAAAUUAAACAUAAGCAUGUUCAGAUAUUGCGAUUAUAAAAAAAAAAAUUAAAAAAAAUCAAUAUAUUCUGUCUAACGACUAUUCAAAAACAUCACUUUUUUUAGACAUCAUAACAACCAGUCCAUAUUGGCAACACUAUUGAAGAAUUUAGUUCUCUAAUACAUCACCAAUGACGUCAAUCUGUUCCACACUUUUCUUUUCUUUUUUCGUUCCGUAUUCGUAUUUAAGUCAGAUUAAAUCUGUGUUCGUUCAUUUUUUGGGGAUAACACUUUCAACAAGAUCUUAUCCAAUUUCAGAGGCUCGAGCUCAAAACCUCUAACCAAGAAUAAAACAAUCUCAAUCAUCUUAUUGUAAUUCAUGUUAAUAUCCGAAUUUGAUCCGACUAAAUUUAGAUUUGCAUAUUUUUAAAAUAAAAACAUGUUUAUUUAUUUAAACCUUUAAUUAAUGAAUAGCCAAUGAAUAGCCAGCCCAUCACUUGCACAUUAUUUCACCCAUUUUCUAUAGUUCCACCACCAAUAUUACUAUUAUAUAUUUGAACCACAACUUUAUUCCAUUCAACUUUUUCAACAAUAGUGAAAAAUUCAAGAAUUGAGUUAUGGAAAAAUCACCAGAAGAAGUGCACCCUGUAAAGGUUUUUGGUUGGGCAGCUACAGACACUUCUGGAACACUCUCCCCCUUUAAAUUCUCCAGAAGGUAUUAUUGAUCGGACUCUUCAAAAAUAUUUAUCAAUUAUUUUAAGGAUCUGACACGGUCGAAUAACAUUCAAUAUAGAUUUUUUAUUAAUACAAUAGCAACAUAUCCAGUAUAGUCCUAAAGUGGAGUCCGAGGAAUGUAGAGAGGUUGUUUUUGAUAGUAAAGCAGUCCAGAAAAAAAAAGUAACAGAAAUAAAUAUAGUAACUACGACAAAAUAAUAUGAUAGACGAAUUACGAGGUUUUGGUUAAUUUUUUGUUUUGUGUUUGCAGGGCUACUGGUGAUAAAGAUGUGAAAUUGAAGAUACUUUAUUGUGGUAUUUGUCAUACUGAUCUUCAUCAAUUGAAGAAUGAAUGGGGAUUUUCUAAAUAUCCUAUGGUUCCUGGGUAUGUUCUCAAAUCUUAUAUUAUUCAAAUUAUGACGGUUUUGAUCCUUUGGAACAACUCGAUGAAUUUAGUAGAUUGUUUUAGGAGGUCCUAAUGACUAUAGAUCGAAUCUAUCCAAUUUUUGAGUCAAUCCGCUAGUAGUAUUGUCUGCUUUGGGCCUAGGCCUGCACGACUUUAAAAUGCAUCACUAGUGGAUAAGGUCUGCUUACUUAUAUAUCAAACAUCUCUUAUGUGUUUUACCGAUAUGGGACUUCUUUAUCUUAAGUUGGGGUGUCACAAUAGUGGGGUCUCUAGAUGGUAGUUUACGCAAACCUUGCCCCUACCUCAAAGAUAUAGAGGUUUUUUUUUUGAUGGACCUUGGCUACGGUAUCACCAUAAAUUUAAAUAAGAGAAGUUGUUUUGCAACUGUAUGAAGUUCAAAGAAAAAUAAAUGAAACUAUUGAUUCUGAUGAAGUAUUUUUUGAGUUAUAGCAGCCAGAGUAAAUAGGAGGUUAGUAAGUUCAUUUACGUUUUCACGCAAAAAAUUUGUCCUCUGUCAAAACAUUAACGAUUUAACUUAUAUACACUGACAAUACAAAGAGAAUCUUGCAGUUCAUUAUAUCUUGACUUCUUGUAGCUGGUAAUUUGUCUUAUUUUUAGUGUCACUAAUCCUACGUUUUAUGGUUGGUUACCGUUAGUUAUCUUUUGAGUGACCUGAUAGUGUAAAAAUUCUAAUACAGACAUGAGAUUGUGGGUGAAGUAACUGAGGUUGGUAGCAAGGUGGAGAAAUUCAAACUUGGAGAUAAAGCUGGUGUGGGGUGUCUAGUUGGAUCAUGUCGAUCUUGCGAAAACUGUAACAACGAUAUCGAGAACUAUUGUUCUAAGGGAAUAGCCACCUAUAGUGCAAUGUACCAUGAUGGAACACCAACGUACGGAGGCUACUCGGACAUAAUCAUUGUUGAUGAACAUUUCGUUGUUCGUGUCCCAGAAAACAUGCCCCUAGCUGCUGCAGCUCCUCUGCUUUGUGCUGGAAUUACAACUUACAGCCCGUUGAGGUACUUUGGACUUGAUAAACCGGGGCUUCACGUUGGUGU
rnacentral:lncRNA from 1 species